CACGUAGGCACCAAGCGUUGUCCGGAUUUAUUGGGCGUAAAGAGCUCGUAGGCGGUUCAGUAAGUCGGGUGUGAAAACUCUGGGCUCAACCCAGAGACGCCACCCGAUACUGCUGUGACUUGUGUACGGUAGGGGAGUGGGGAAUUCCUGGUGUAGCGGUGAAAUGCGCAGAUAUCAGGAGGAACACCAGUGGCGAAGGCGCCACUCUGGGCCGUAACUGACGCUGAGGAGCGAAAGCGUGGGUAGCAAACAGG
rnacentral:rRNA from 1 species